rnacentral:rRNA from 1 species
GGGAACACCCGGACAGUUCGAGAAUUAGCAACGUUGUGUAAGUUGCGUUCCCCCAUGAUUGUGUUCCUGUGUGAAACUAGACAGAAGGAGGACAAGAUGAAGAGGAUCCGAGCCAAGCUAGGGCUCAAGGGGUUUUGUGGUGUUGACAGCAAUGGUCUUAGUGGUGGAUUAGCGCUCUUUUGGAGGGAAGAUUGUGUGGUUACAAUUUUGGGCAAGGAAGACAGAUACAUUGACACGGUAAUCCAAGCUUGUCAGGGUGCAGUGGAGUGGCGAGCUACCUUUGUCUAUGGGGAGCCGCGGGUGGAGCACAGACAUCUUAUGUGGUCCAAGUUACAAAUUUUGAAGGCCGUCAAUGAUUUACCUUGGCUUGUAAUUGGUGAUUUUAAUGAAGCCUUGUGGGAUUACAAACAUCUUUCGGUCACACCCAGAGCAGAAGCACAGAUGGUGGCCUUUCGUGAUACAUUAGAGGUGUGUGAGCUCGUGGAUCUGGGUUUUAUGGGCGUGCCGUUUACUUAUGACAAUAAGCGGGGGAGAUCAGCCAAUGUAAAAGUGUGA